rnacentral:rRNA from 1 species
UAGGGAAUCUUCGGCAAUGGACGGAAGUCUGACCGAGCAACGCCGCGUGAGUGAAGAAGGUUUUCGGAUCGUAAAGCCCUGUUGUUAGAGAAGAACGUUGGUAGGAGUGGAAAAUCUACCAAGUGACGGUAACUAACCAGAAAGGGACGGCUAACUACGUGCCAGCAGCCGCGGUAAUACGUAGGUCCCGAGCGUUGUCCGGAUUUAUUGGGCGUAAAGCGAGCGCAGGCGGUUCUUUAAGUCUGAAGUUAAAGGCAGUGGCUUAACCAUUGUACGCUUUUGAAACUGGAGGACUUGAGUGCAGAAGGGGAGAGUGGAAUUUCAUGUGUAGCGGUGAAAUGCGUAGAUAUAUGGAGGAACACCGGUGGCGAAAGCGGCUCUCUGGUCUGUAACUGACGCUGAGGCUCGAAAGCGUGGGGAGCAAACAGG